AAACAUCCUUGUCAACUGAUAAGAGUCAUCCAGGAGACAUCUUAGUGUAAAACGUCAUAUCUCCAGACACUUCACAGAUAAGUCGACCCGAUGUAAUCAGAGUGUUCAUCAUGAUUCCAACGGUGUUCUUCGUGGUGCCGGUGGUGUUUUCUUUUUCGAACAUAGUGCGAUGCGACGUGAUAAUGGCGGGUCAAAAUUGCACAAUACCAUUAACAACGACCACAACAACAGUAUUAUCAGCUGCAACAACAACAACUCCAUCAAUAUCAUCUGCAAUAACAAAAGCUACAACAACAGCAGCAACAAAAACAACAACAGCUUCAUCAGCGACAACAGCAGCACCUACUACGAAAUCAACAAGUCCGUCUGGUCGAAGGAAACGCAGUGCAGCCCAACAAGAGUGUGUUCCAAACGCAAGUUGUGAGCUGAACGAACAAACAAUACUGAUGUGCAGAUGCAACACUGGCUACUCCGAAGACAAAGGAUUGUGUACAAACAAUGGCGCAGACUAUUUGAGAGGGUCGGCACUUUCAGUUACCUUGGUGACGACAGUGAUGCUGUUUUUUAUCUAGCAAACCAAUCUACCAGUGCUUCAGCGGAAAAUUGACUUGUUUAUACUAUCGCCUUACAUUUCCAAUAUUUUGCAUCCAUCGAAACAAUUGUUUUUGAAUAUUUUAAACAUAUCCGAUCGUUUACAUCAAUACACGUCACAACUUAACUUCUUUUCCAAUAACACAAUAAAACAUAAUUGAACAAGAAAUACCCGUUGAAGUCUUAAAAAAAACAAUAUGAACAAACUUCCGCCAACUAAUAUGCUAAAUAAUAAUGGCAAAAACAGACAGGAGAAUUCAAGCGCGUGAUUUGCACAAUAUUGGCGCUUGAUCUGGCUUUGAAAGUGCGUGUACCCUGUGUCUACAGAAUAUGUCAACUAGAGUGUACAAGUGUCGGAGUUCCGGUUGUCUGUGCAUGCCUGAUGAAGCCGUUGUGCCGACCAACUAGCAAUGCCAGAUCAACCAAAACAGUGUGGUUUCUUGUAGGCACAUGAGCGCCACUUUUGGUCGGAUGAUUUAUUAAUCUAAUAAAAGAGUUGCACACAAAA